AUACUUACCUGGCAGUGGAGACACCAUGAUCAUGAAGGUGGUUUUCCCACGGUGAAGCUUAUCCAUUGUACUCCAGAUGUGCUGACCCCUUCGAUUUCCCCAAAUGUGGAAAACUUGACUGCAUAAUUUGUGGUAGUGGGGGACUGCAUUCGUGUGCUCCCCUG